UGUUUCCUGCCGGCCGCAGGUCUCGCACCGCGACCAUGCUGGAUGUCCUGGAGUCGCCCAGGUCGCGCGUCAACGCCAGCAUGCUAGCUCAGUUCAUCGACCAGCCGGUCUGCUUCGUAGGAAGGCUGGAAAAGAUUCAUCCCACUGGAAAAAUGUUUAUUCUUUCAGAUGGAGAAGGAAAAAAUGGAACUAUUGAGUUGAUGGAGCCCCUUGAUGAAGAAAUCUCUGGAAUUGUGGAAGUAGUUGGAAGAGUAACAGCCAAGGCAACCAUUAUGUGUGCAUCAUAUGUCCAGUUUAAAGAAGAUAACCAUCCUUUUGAUCUUGGACUUUACAAUGAAGCUGUGAAAAUUACUCAUGAGUUCCCUCAGUUUCUUGCUUUGGGGGUGGUGCAAUAUGAUUGAUCUUGAUAAACACACUGAAGACUGUUACAGGAAGCCCCUGAUAGUUGAGGGGAAGAUUUCUGUGAUUUUUAAUAUUUAAUUUGUUCUCCUUUUAAUUUCAUUUACCUAACCUUAUUAGAUAUUGCAGUAUCCCACUUUUGAUGGAACCCGUCUGUAUAUUGCAAGUUAAUUCCUCAUAAAGAAUCACUUCUCCAGUGUACGGUCAGACCAGAUGUAAGAACAAAGCAGUUGCCUUGAGUUUAGUUUUGUGUUUUAUUAAUAAAAACUGAAACA